rnacentral:RNase_P_RNA from 1 species
CGAGCCAGCCAGACAGUCGCCCAGCUACUUCAUAAGUAGCUGGGAGGAAAGUCCGGGCUCCACAGGGUAGGACGCCAGGUAACGCCUGGGGGGCGCGAGCCUACGGAAAGUGCAGCAGAGAGCAGACCGCCGAUGGCCCAGCUACUUUACAAGUAGCUGGGCACAGGUAAGGGUGAAAGGGUGCGGUAAGAGCGCACCGCGCGACUGGCAACAGAUCGCGGCACGGUAAACCCCGUCCGGAGCAAGACCAAAUAGGCCCUCUACAGGUGUGACCCGCACUGAGGGCGGGUAGGUCGCUGGAGCCGUGUGGCGACCCACGGCCUAGAUGAAUGACCGUCCCCGACAGAACCC